GGGCGGCUAGCUCAGCUGGAAGAGCGCCAGCUUGACAUGCUGGAGGUCGGGGGUUCGAGACCCUCGCCGCCCACCA
rnacentral:tRNA from 1 species